rnacentral:rRNA from 1 species
CCUACGGGGGGCAGCAGUGAGGAAUAUUGGUCAAUGGACGCAAGUCUGAACCAGCCAUGCCGCGUGCAGGAAGACGGCUCUAUGAAUUGUAAACUGCUUUUGUACGGGGGUAAAUCCCGAGACGUGUAUCGGGUUGAAAUUAUCGUACGAAUAAGGAUCGGCUAACUCCGUUCCAGCAGACGCGGUAAUACAGAGGAUUCAAGGGUUAUGCGGAUUUAUUGGGGUUGAGGGGGGCGUAGGGGGAAGAUCAAGUAGGCGGUAAAAAUUCGGGGCUCAACCCCGUCGUGCCGUGGAAACUGAUGUUCUUGAGUGGGCUAGAAGUAUGCGGAAUGCGUGGUGUAGCGGUGAAAUGCAUAGAUA